CAGCAGCCGCGGGAAUACGUAGGGUGCGAGCGUUAAUCGGAAUUACUGGGCGUAAAGCGUGCGCAGGCGGUUGUGUAAGACAGGUGUGAAAUCCCCGGGCUUAACCUGGGAACUGCGCUUGUGACUGCACAGCUAGAGUAUGGCAGAGGGGGGUGGAAUUCCGCGUGUAGCAGUGAAAUGCGUAGAGAUGUGGAGGAACACCGAUGGCGAAGGCAGCCCCCUGGGCCAAUACUGACGCUCAUGCACGAAAGCGUGGGGAGCAAACAGGAUUAGAUACCCGUGUAGUCCCUGUCUCUUAUAC
rnacentral:rRNA from 1 species